UUGAACGCUGGCGGCAGGCCUAACACAUGCAAGUCGAACGGUAACAGGAAACAGCUUGCUGUUUCGCUGACGAGUGGCGGACGGGUGAGUAAUGUCUGGGAAACUGCCUGAUGGAGGGGGAUAACUACUGGAAACGGUAGCUAAUACCGCAUAACGUCGCAAGACCAAAGAGGGGGACCUUCGGGCCUCUUGCCAUCGGAUGUGCCCAGAUGGGAUUAGCUAGUAGGUGGGGUAACGGCUCACCUAGGCGACGAUCCCUAGCUGGUCUGAGAGGAUGACCAGCCACACUGGAACUGAGACACGGUCCAGACUCCUACGGGAGGCAGCAGUGGGGAAUAUUGCACAAUGGGCGCAAGCCUGAUGCAGCCAUGCCGCGUGUAUGAAGAAGGCCUUCGGGUUGUAAAGUACUUUCAGCGGGGAGGAAGGGAGUAAAGUUAAUACCUUUACUCAUUGACGUUACCCGCAGAAGAAGCACCGGCCAACUCCGUG
rnacentral:rRNA from 1 species